UGCAGACAGAAGCAGACUAACCCUGAUGCUUUUCAUUUCCUUCAGGCCAUCGUGUUUGUGGUCGGAGGGGGAAACUACAUCGAGUACCAGAACCUGGUGGACUACGCUAAGUUCAAGCAGGGGAAGAAGGUAGUUUACGGCUGCAGCGAACUCUCCAACGCUGGUCAGUUCAUCAAACAGCUCUCUCAACUCGGCCAAAAGUAACAAUGACUCUAACAAUAUGUGAUACCUCUCUCUCUCUCGCUCUUUCUGGAGGUCAUGUGAUCUCUUUAUUCCACUUGUUUUAUAUUAAAUUCUUCUGUAAAUGGACUUAACAUUUCCUGUCUUAAUUCUCAUUUCUGUCUCUUCCGCUCAGCGCUAAUAAAGCUAAUAAAAAAAAGUAUAAUAAAAAAAAAGUCUAAUCUCA